CAUUUGCCUUUGUCACAAAGGCAGACUCCUGGCUCGUGUUCAACUUGGCGUCCAGCAGGACCCCGGAUCCUUUUCUGACAAGCUGGAGCUGGGUGAAGAUCUUGGUGGUGGAGAUCUCUGGGGAGGCAGUGCCACCACACGGUGCACGUCCAGCAGCAGGUGUGGAGUUACUGACACAGCUGCAUGGCAGGAGACCUGGGUGAUCAUUGGCCAGCAUAAUGCUCCAGCACUGGGUGUAUCCAUGGCAGGACACGAAGCUUGGCUGGAUCCAGCACUGCUGUAUGUUUAUUUUAGAACAAUUUGGUUGCAAUGAAAAGGAGUCUCUUACAGACACCGAGGUGGCUGGUGGUCCCUGGUCUGGGGGCCAGCUCACACCAUGGACCACUCCUACAGCAGUGUGAUCCCCUGUGCCACCUGGUCUCAGUGCUGGAGCUCCUGCAGGGAAUCAGCUACCACUAGGGUUGUCAGGUACUUUUUAAUAAACACCUGAGCAUA